UACGUAGGGGGCUAGCGUUGUCCGGAAUCAUUGGGCGUAAAGAGCGUGUAGGCGGUCCGGUAAGUCCGCUGUGAAAGUCGGGGGCUCAACCCUCGAAUGCCGGUGGAUACUGUCGGGCUAGAGUACGGAAGAGGCGAGUGGAAUUCCUGGUGUAGCGGUGAAAUGCGCAGAUAUCAGGAGGAACACCAGUGGCGAAGGCGGCACUCUGGGCCGGAACUGACGCUGAGGAGCGAAAGCGUGGGGAGCGAACAGG
rnacentral:rRNA from 1 species